rnacentral:ncRNA from 1 species
CGACCUCAGAUCAGACGUGGCGACCUGCUGAAUUUAAGCAUAUUAGUCAGUGGAGGAAAAGAAACUAACGAGGAUUCCCUCAGUAACGGCGAGUGAAGAGGGAAGAGCCCAGCGCCGAAUCCCCGCCCCACGGUGGGGCACGGGACAUGUGGCGUACAGAAGCCCCCCUCCCCAGCGGCGCUCUCGGGGGACAC